UGGCUCAGGACGAACGCUGGCGGCGUGCUUAACACAUGCAAGUCGAACGGGAGUAUUGAAGAAGCUGCUUUAGAGAUACUUUAGUGGCGGACGGGUGAGUAACGCGUGAGGAGCUGUCCUAUGCAGGGGGACAACAGCUGGAAACGGCUGCUAAUACCCCAUAAGCCGAGAGGUAAAAGGAUCAAUCCGGCAGAGGAGGUACUCGCGUCCUAUCAGCUAGUAGGUGAGGUAACGACUCACCUAGGCGAAGACGGGUAGCCGGCCUGAGGAGGGCGAACGGCCACACUGGAACUGAGAUACGGUCCAGACUCCGUACGGGAGGCAGCAGGUGGGGAAUAGUUGGGCAAUGGGGGAAACCCUGACCCAGCGACGCCGCGUGGGUGAAGAAAUCCUUCGGGAUGUAAAGCCCUGUUGUAUGGGAAGAGCGGAAGACGGUACCAUACGAGGAAGCCCCGGCAAACUACGUGCCAGCCGCCGC
rnacentral:rRNA from 1 species